CGAAACCCACAUUUCGCUAUCUCACAUUUUUCUCUCUCACAUUUCGUUCUCGAACCCUAAACCUAACCCUAACCUCACAAUGUCACGUUCGCUUUUCAAUCUGGAUGAUUACAACGAUGAGGAUGAGCACCACGGUUGGGACCUGCUCGGCGAGUUUGUCGUCUCCGAUGACGGCGCCGGUGUCUCUAACCCCGUCGCCGCGGGUGUCUCUAACCCCGUCGCCGCGGGUGUCUCUAACCCCGUCGCCGCGGGUGUCUCUAACCCCGUCGCCGCCGCUGUCUCUAACCCCGUCGCCGCCGACUCCACUGUGGCCGUCAAGGCGGUGGCUGAAGGUUUUGUGGAGUUUACUGAGGCCGUCAAGGCGAAGGCUGAAGGUUUUGUGGAGUUUACUGAGGCCGUCAAGGCGGUGGUUGAAGGUUUUGUGGAGUUUACUGAGGCCGUCAAGGCGGUGGCUGAAGGUUUUGUGGAGGCCGUCGCCGCCGACUCCACUGAGGCCGUCAAGGCGGCGGCUGAAGGUUUUGUGGAGUUUACUGAGGCCGUCAAGGCGGUGGCUGAAGGUUUUGGAGCGCCUAAAGGCGUCGCCGGACAGAAGUUAAGCCUAGGUUUUCAAAAUCAUCAGUUGGACCAAAUGCAUUAUACUUUUAGUUACGAAAUGGGAAUACUUGAUGUUUUGAAUGUGUGGGAGUGCUUAUUUCAUUCUAUGUUAGCACAAUAUUUUCGUUGACCAAUACUUCUAUAUUUAGAAGCUCACACUACUAGAAAUAUGGCCAAAGGGCACCGACAGAUGGCCACUGAUACGCAAACGGUUCUUGUAACUUUUGUGAUCCACUGAUAGCAAAUGUUGGUGGCAAAAAAUUGGAUUUGUCACUGAUGAUCAGUGGCUAAUAUGUUUAUUAAUAAACUAAAUAAUAAAAUAAUAAUAUAGCUGAUCACUUUUCAUCCCCACUUAUUUAGUAUUAUUAUUUUUUUGGCAAUAGAGAAUUUAAUAUACUAAUAGCAACAGAUUCUCAAACACACACUCUCUCUCUCGCUCUCUUUUUCUCGGGGAGAGUGGGAGACUCUCUCAGCAGCUAAACAAACAAUGAAAAAACUCAAACUCUCUUGCUCUCUCUUUCUUCUUCACUGCCAUUUCUCAAACUCCGGUGACCUGCGACACGACCGAUAAUAAUGAAUCUAGGGUGAGCCGAUCUACAAAACCCACAUGGCCAUAGGACGGGAAAUUAGCCAACGCGCCAUCACCAAUGGUUUGCUGACUUCAACAGCUGCCGAUCGUGUUCUGCAAACGGGUUCCACCUUUCUUUACUCUGAAUCUUGUUCUAGUCAUUGUUGAGAAGGUGGAGUCUAGGUCAUGCUCCCAGUGGAGGGUUCCCCCUGUUCCCAAUGAGUUUGAUUAAUUGGCUCAUAACAAGGUGUAUGGUGAUUUAGGAAGAUUGUGGUGAUGCAGCUGUGGAGACUUUGAAUCAGUUCCUUGGUUGGUGCAAGCUCUCAUUAUUUUUCGUAAGCUGCAUUUAAAACUUAUCUGAGAAGUUGAAAAAACACAGAAUCAAGCAAGAGGUCUUGUGCGAUAAAAAGAGCGUUUGGCUGUUAUGAAGACAAGUUCAUUCCAAUUCCUAUUCCUCUCAUUGAUCUCCAUCAUCAGGCAUUCCUACAAGUAAAUCUGGGUUAUCAUCAUCAAUUGUAUCCUAAUUUCUUUUGCUUCUGUUUUUCUCUGAUGCAGCAAGAGUAGGAGGCUUAGAUGGAGUAUUGAUACCUUCGGCCUGGGAUCAAAAAUGGUACUGGAAAUCAUAACGGCAAACACUGAUACUGAUCAAACCUUGGUGGGAGGGGCCGUAAAUUAUGUAUAGACAUGAUGUUCUAUUUUUUUAAGUUUGUAAAUAUGAUAAAGCGAGCUAUGUAAUUCAGUGAUGCAAUAGAAAUAUUUACUAUCAAUUUUUAUGAGGUUAAAUAAUUUAUUUAUUGGUGUAAUA